rnacentral:rRNA from 1 species
UGGGGAAUUUUGGGCAAUGGGCGAAAGCCUGACCCAGCAACGCCGCGUGAAGGACGAAAUCCCUCCGGGAUGUAAACUUCGAAAGUCAGGAAAGAAAUCGGUCAGGAUAAUACCCUGACCGGAUGACGGUACCUGACGUAAGCCCCGGCUAACUACGUGCCAGCAGCCGCGGUAAUACGUAGGGGGCAAGCGUUGUUCGGAAUUACUGGGCGUAAAGGGCGCGUAGGCGGCAUGGCAAGUCGGGAGUGAAAGGCCUGGGCUCAACCGAGGAACUGCUUUCGAGACUGCCAAGCUAGAGUGCGGAAGGGGCAUCUGGAAUUCCCAGUGUAGCGGUGAAAUGCGUAGAUAUUGGGAAGAACACCUGAGGCGAAGGCGGGAUGCUGGGCCGACACUGACGCUGAGGCGCGAAAGCCAGGGGAGCAAACGG